GACGAACGCUGGCGGCGUGCCUAAUACAUGCAAGUAGAACGCUGAAGGAGGAGCUUGCUUCUCUGGAUGAGUUGCGAACGGGUGAGUAACGCGUAGGUAACCUGCCUGGUAGCGGGGGAUAACUAUUGGAAACGAUAGCUAAUACCGCAUAAUAGUAGAUGUUGCAUGACAUUUGCUUAAAAGGUGCAAUUGCAUCACUACCAGAUGGACCUGCGUUGUAUUAGCUAGUUGGUGGGGUAACGGCUCACCAAGGCGACGAUACAUAGCCGACCUGAGAGGGUGAUCGGCCACACUGGGACUGAGACACGGCCCAGACUCCUACGGGAGGCAGCAGUAGGGAAUCUUCGGCAAGGGACGGAAGUCUGACCGAGCAACGCCGCGUGAGUGAAGAAGGUUGUCGGAUCGUAAAGCUCUGUUGUAAGAGAAGAACGAGUGUGAGAGUGGAAAGUUCACACUGUGACGGUAUCUUACCAGAAAGGGACGGCUAACUACGUG
rnacentral:rRNA from 1 species